UGCAGAGGAAGGAGUGGCUAAGAAAGGAUACACAGCCUGGGAAAGAGCUGGAAAUGGGAGUCAAGGAGGGAGAUGCUGGCACCAGACAAGGGCAGUGUUCAGAAGUGAUUGAGACCACGGGCCUCACAAAGCUGGGCUCCUGUAGAGAGAGUGGCAAGAACGACGGUUCGAGUGCUCAAAGCGAAAGGAAUAUUCCGGGGAAGACGCAUGGAGAGGAGUCUUUUACUGUGACACAUUUUUUAAAGAGGAAACACAC
rnacentral:lncRNA from 1 species